UAACGGCUGAACCAGCAACUUGGAGGAAUGUAUAGCUAAUGCUAAACGUAUUUUGUAAAAAUACAGAUUCGAUUUACUCGUAUAAAGUUCUAGAUAGGAUUAUGAUAAUGACAUUGUCUAUCUAUAUGUCUUGACCAAAUUACGUGCCAGCAGUCGCGGCAAGACGUAAAAGACUAGUGUUAUUCAUCUUUAAUAGGUUUAAAGCGUACCUAGACGGUAAAUAAAGCCUUAACCGGGACUAAUUUAACUAGAGUUAGAUGUAAGGGUGCAUAAACGUACUGUUGAGUGUAGAGAUGAAAUUCUAUUAUACCAGAUGAUUGGCACGGGUUUAGGCGAAAGCAUCGCCUUAUGUAAUAACUGACGUUGAGGGACGAAGGCUUUGUGUCGCGAACAGGAUUAGGUACCCCAGUAGUCUAAGCAGAAAAUGAUGAGUGUCAUAGGUUAAAUAUUAUUUGGUCUAUAAAUGAAAGUGUAAGCAUUCCACCUCAAGAGUAAUUUGGCAACAUUGGAAUUGAAAUCAUUAGACCGUUUCUGAAACCAGUAGUGAAGUAUGUUGUUUAAUUAGAUAUUCCACCAAAAACCUUACCACAAUUUGAAUAUUUUACAAGCGUUGCACGGCUGUCUUCAGUUAAUGUCGUGAGAUUAUGGUUAGUUCCAUUAAAUUAACGUAAACCCUUACUUUAUUUUAUUUUAUAUAAAGUAGUUCGCCGCUAGAUUGGUUAGAUAAAAGGGACUAAGACAAGUCAUCAUGGCCUUAAUAUUGUGGGCUAUAGACGUGCCACAUAUGCCUAACAAAGGGAUGCUAAAUUGCAAAAUUAAGC
rnacentral:rRNA from 1 species